rnacentral:rRNA from 1 species
UACAGGGGGUGCAAACGUUGCUCGGAAUUAUUGGGCGUAAAGCGCGCGUAGGCGGCUACUUAAGUCGGAUGUGAAAGCCCCUGGCUCAACUGGGGAAGUGCACCCGAAACUGAGCAGCUAGAGUACGAAAGAGGGUCGCGGAAUUCCCGGUGUAGAGGUGAAAUUCGUAGAUAUCGGGAGGAACACCGGUGGCGAAGGCGGCGACCUGGGUCGAUACUGACGCUGAGGAGCGAAAGCCAGGGGAGCAAACAGG